AGUGAACGCUGGCGGUAGGCCUAACACAUGCAAGUCGAACGGCAGCACAGUAAGAGCUUGCUCUUACGGGUGGCGAGUGGCGGACGGGUGAGGAAUACAUCGGAAUCUACUUUUUCGUGGGGGAUAACGUAGGGAAACUUACGCUAAUACCGCAUACGACCUACGGGUGAAAGCAGGGGAUCUUCGGACCUUGCGCGAUUGAAUGAGCCGAUGUCGGAUUAGCUAGUUGGCGGGGUAAAGGCCCACCAAGGCGACGAUCCGUAGCUGGUCUGAGAGGAUGAUCAGCCACACUGGAACUGAGGCACGGUCCAGACUCCUACAGGAGGCAGCAGUGGGGAAUAUUGGACAAUGGACGCAAGCCUGAUCCAGCCAUACCGCGUGGGUGAAGAAGGCCUUCGGGUUGUAAAGCCCUUUUGUUGGGAAAGAAAAGCAGCAGGUUAAUACCCCGCUGUUAUGACGGUACCCAAAGAAUAAGCACCGGCUAACUUCGUG
rnacentral:rRNA from 1 species